GUGGGGAAUAUUGGGCAAUGGGCGAAAGCCUGACCCAGCAACGCCGCGUGAGGGAAGAAGGCCUUCGGGUUGUAAAGUUCUUUUGGAGGGGACGAUGAUGACGGUACCCUCAGAAUAAGCUCCGGCUAACUUCGUGCCAGCAGCCGCGGUAAUACGAAGGGAGCUAGCGUUGUUCGGAAUUACUGGGCGUAAAGGGCGCGUAGGCGGUUUGGUUAGUCAGAUGUGAAAGCCCAGGGCUUAACCCUGGAACUGCGUUUGAUACUGCCAAGCUUGAAUUCGGGAGAGGUGAGUGGAAUUCCCAGUGUAGAGGUGAAAUUCGUAGAUAUUGGGAAGAACACCGGUGGCGAAGGCGGCUCACUGGACCGACAUUGACGCUGAGGCGCGAAAGCGUGGGGAGCAAACAGGAUUAGAAACCCCUGUAGUCC
rnacentral:rRNA from 1 species